rnacentral:rRNA from 1 species
UAUUUUAAAGAGAGUUUGAUCCUGGCUCAGGACGAACGCUGGCGGCGUGCCUAAUACAUGCAAGUCGAACGAACGGAGGAAGAGCUUGCUCUUCCAAAGUUAGUGGCGGACGGGUGAGUAACACGUGGGCAACCUGCCUGUAAGUUGGGGAUAACUCCGGGAAACCGGGGCUAAUACCGAAUGAUAAAGUGUGGCGCAUGCCACGCUUUUGAAAGAUGGUUUCGGCUAUCGCUUACAGAUGGGCCCGCGGUGCAUUAGCUAGUUGGUAGGGUAAUGGCCUACCAAGGCAACGAUGCAUAGCCGACCUGAGAGGGUGAUCGGCCACACUGGGACUGAGACACGGCCCAGACUCCUACGGGAGGCAGCAGUAGGGAAUCUUCCGCAAUGGACGAAAGUCUGACGGAGCAACGCCGCGUGUAUGAAGAAGGUUUUCGGAUCGUAAAGUACUGUUGUUAGAGAAGAACAAGGAUAAGAGUAACUGCUUGUCCCUUGACGGUAUCUAACCAGAAAGCCACGGCUAACUACGUGCCAGCAGCCGCGGUAAUACGUAGGUGGCAAGCGUUGUCCGGAUUUAUUGGGCGUAAAGCGCGCGCAGGCGGUCUUUUAAGUCUGAUGUGAAAGCCCCCGGCUUAACCGGGGAGGGUCAUUGGAAACUGGAAGACUGGAGUGCAGAAGAGGAGAGUGGAAUUCCACGUGUAGCGUGAAAUGCGUAGAUAUGUGGAGGAACACCAGUGGCGAAGGCGACUCUCUGGUCUGUAACUGACGCUGAGGCGCGAAAGCGUGGGGAGCAAACAGGAUUAGAUACCUGGUAGUCCACGCCGUAAACGAUGAGUGCUAAGUGUUAGGGGGUUUCCGCCCCUUUAGUGCUGCAGCUAACGCAUUAAGCACUCCGCGUGGGGAGUACGACCGCAAGGUUGAAACUCAAAGGAAUUGACGGGGGCCCGCACAAGCGGUGGAGCAUGUGGUUUAAUUCGAAGCAACGCGAAGAACCUUACCAGGUCUUGACAUCCUUUGACCACUCUGGAGACAGAGCUUUCCCUUCGGGGACAAAGUGACAGGUGGUGCAUGGUUGUCGUCAGCUCGUGUCGUGAGAUGUUGGGUUAAGUCCCGCAACGAGCGCAACCCUUGAUUUUAGUUGCCAGCAUUUAGUUGGGCACUCUAAAGUGACUGCCGGUGCAAGCCGGAGGAAGGUGGGGAUGACGUCAAAUCAUCAUGCCCCUUAUGACCUGGGCUACACACGUGCUACAAUGGAUAGUACAAAGGGUCGCGAAGCCGCGAGGUGGAGCUAAUCCCAUAAAACUAUUCUCAGUUCGGAUUGUAGGCUGCAACUCGCCUACAUGAAGCCGGAAUCGCUAGUAAUCGUGGAUCAGCAUGCCACGGUGAAUACGUUCCCGGGCCUUGUACACACCGCCCGUCACACCACGAGAGUUUGUAACACCCGAAGUCGGUAGGGUAACCUUUAUGGAGCCAGCCGCCGAAGGUGGGACAGAUAAUUGGGGUGAAGUCGUAACAAGGUAGCCGUAUCGGAAGGUGCGGCUGGAUCACCUCCUUUCUAAGGAA